rnacentral:lncRNA from 1 species
UGAUGUUGUCCAGUCGAGUACACAAAGGUUCGAAGGAGUGGAACAUGAUGAGAGAUCCUACAAAGCUACAAGUGAAGUUGAGGAUCAAAGUGACCUUUCUUCCGUAAGUAUUGAAGACUUGCAUUUGCCUUAAUUGUGCAGUCCUUAUAGCUUACGUGAAAUUGCAACGUGGUCCAGGUGAAGAGGGAUAGAACUUUGACAAUUACUUGGAAGAACAGGCAGGGGAAGUAGGACCAGAUGUGAUUGAAUCCCUAGAAGGGAUCCUGCUCGAAGAGGCAGAGCAAGGGGUAUAGCUUCAAGUUCGAGAAAACAGCAAAGCUUCAAGGUCGGCCGGGGACAUAGCUUCUACUUCAAGAAAGGGCGAGUCAUCAAUUUCAAAUUAGACUAUAUUGCUAAUUUUUGUCUUGCAUUGCAAUCACUGGCCAUUAGAAUUUCAUCAACAGCUCUUUUCUUUUCAACUUCUGAUUCCAUACAAAAUUCACUUUCCCCAUUUAAUUCACUAAAAUUGCUAUAUGUUAGCUAUGAAAAAUCCAGACCCCAGUGUAAGUAUCUUACCU